rnacentral:rRNA from 1 species
GACGAACCGUGCGAACGUUAUUCGGAAUCACUGGGCUUAAAGCGCGUGUAGGCGGGACGGCACGUCGGUCGCUGAAAGCCCCCGGCUCAACCGGGGAACGGGCGCCGAUACGACCGUCCUGGAGGGACGUAGGGGGACCUGGAACUUCCGGUGGAGCGGUGAAAUGCGUAGAGAUCGGAAAGAACACCAACGGCGAAAGCACUCUGCUGGGCCGACACUGACACUGAGAGACGAAAGCUAGGGGAGCGAAUGGG